rnacentral:rRNA from 1 species
AGCGUAGACGGAAUGGCAAGUCUGAUGUGAAAGGCCGGGGCUCAACCCCGGGACUGCAUUGGAAACUGUCAAUCUAGAGUACCGGAGGGGUAAGCGGAAUUCCUAGUGUAGCGGUGAAAUGCGUAGAUAUUAGGAGGAACACCAGUGGCGAAGGCGGCUUACUGGACGGUAACUGACGUUGAGGCUCGAAAGCGUGGGGAGCAAACAA